ACGGUGAGUAACACGUAUCCAACCUGCCGUCUACUCUUGGACAGCCUUCUGAAAGGAAGAUUAAUACAAGAUGGCAUCAUGAGUCCGCAUGUUCACAUGAUUAAAGGUAUUCCGGUAGACGAUGGGGAUGCGUUCCAUUAGAUAGUAGGCGGGGUAACGGCCCACCUAGUCAACGAUGGAUAGGGGUUCUGAGAGGAAGGUCCCCCACAUUGGAACUGAGACACGGUCCAA
rnacentral:rRNA from 1 species